UUACUUGUCAGAGGGUUUUUAGCUUCCCCCAUCCUGCAAGGCCACUCAACCAUGUGCGAGCUGGAGUAAUCUUUAUUCACAAUGUCUCUACAAAGGCUCAUGCAACAGAGCUGCAAUGGCAAUUUGGUGGACUACAGUGCUGGUCCAGCAUAUAACUCUUACUCCCCGCUCACGGGCAGCUUCCGAAUGGAUGAUAAUAGAAGGAUUCAAAUGCUGGCAGACACUGUGGCUACUUUGCCUCGGGGAAGAAAGCAGCUUGCUUUGACGAGAUCAAGUUCUUUAGGUGACUUUUCCUGGUCUCAAAGAAAGCUCAUUACCGUGGAAAAGCAAGAUAAUGGAACGUUUGGAUUUGAAAUUCAGACUUACAGGCUGCAGAACCAGAACCUGGGCUCCUCAGAGAUGUGCACUCUGAUUUGCAAAAUCCAGGAGGACAGCCCAGCACACUAUGCUGGCCUGCAAACUGGUGAUGUCCUUGCAAAUAUCAAUGGCGUGAACACAGAAGGCUUUACCCACAAACAAGUUGUUGACCUGAUCAGAUCUUCAGGAAACCUGUUAACGAUAGAGACUCUUAAUGGAACAAUGAUUCUCAAAAGAGCAGAGCUUGAAGCAAAGCUGCAAGUUUUAAAGCAAACCUUGAAGAAAAAAUGGGUGGAGUUCAGAUCGCUGCAGUUACAGGAACAGCGUCUGCUUCAUGGGAGUGAUGCUCAUAUCCAUUCCACAGUGGACUUUGUUUUCUGCCUUCCAGGUGACACAGGUAAUUGCCCAAGUUUGGAAAACAUGGACAUAGAUGAGUCGGUUUUGUUUGGAACCCUGCCAGGGCCAGGGCCCGCCCUCCUGGACCGGAAUCGCCUAUCCAGUGAGAGCAGCUGUCUGAGCUCCAUGACGAUGGACAGCGAGGACGGCUACCAGACAUGUGUGUCUGAGGACUCCAGCAGGGGAGGCUUUAGUCGACAGACGAGCACAGAUGAUGAGUGCUUUGUCCCCAAGGAUGGGGACGAUUUCCUGAAGAGGUCUUCUUCGAGGAGGAACCGGAGUGUUAGCACGGCCAGCAGUGGGUCCAUGUCCCCCUUGUGGGAGGGCAACUUCUCAAACAUGUUUGGGACCCUGCCCCGGAAAAGCAGAAGGGGCAGUGUCCGGAAACAGCUCUUAAAAUUCAUCCCUGGCCUUCACCGUGCAGUGGAAGAGGAAGAGAGUCGCUUUUGAUGGGUUGUCCUGACCUUUCUUAUUUCGUAAAUAUCUCUGGACUUGUUUAGACUAACUCCACCCAGCCUGGUGGGAAAUUGCAGAUGGAUUGCAAAACUGAAACUCCAUACCAUGACGAUAGAUAGUGACCUUUAUUUAAAUUUUUGUAUCAUAAGGUUUGCUUCUUAAAUCAUUUUUUGUAACCAGAAAAGCACAGGUGAUAAACAGAAAGUAGGGGAACUAGGUAAUAAGUUGGAUAAGAUGACAAAUUAAGCACAUUCCUGCUCAUCCUAAUGCUGCCUGGGAAGACAAGGGUAAUAUUUAUUUUCUAGAUUGUGUGAAAAAUUGAGAACUUUUCAGUCAAGUGUAAAUAAAAGAGUGAUGGAAUAUAAUUAUUUGGGAUACCUUCCGUAGGUUCAUUGGUAGGUCAUAAAACUUUGCUUAAGAUCAGUAGCCUCCAGGGAGGCUUCAUAAUAGGUCAUUUUGAAUGUUUCUGUUUACAUCUGUGAAGGAUUAUAAACAAAGAGGAUCAUCAGCUAUUUUUCACAUCCACCGCAACAAUAAAGCAGGAAGUAUGAGAUACAAUAAGGCAGGAAGUAUGAGAUACAAUAAAGCAGGAAGUAUGAGAUACAAUAAAGCAGGAAGUAUGAGAUACAAUAAAGCAGGAAGUAUGAGAUACAAUAAAGCAGGAAGUAUGAGAUACAAUAAAGCAGGAAGUAUGAGAUACAAUAAAGCAGGAAGUAUAAGACUCAAUAUGAGGGUUUGGGAAUCCAUGGGAACGUGUUGUCUAAGAUGGGUGCUGAGCAAGAUUAUAAGGGCUUUUUAAUAGACAGCCUAAACAGAAUGGGAGAGAAUGUCAUUCUUACUCAAUUCAAUUUUUGUUCUGCCUAAACAUUGAUGGCAAGUCUAGAAUUCUCAAGAUCCUGCAUACAGCUUUGUAAAUUUUUUUUUGGAGCAGAUGUCUGGAAUUUGAAAAAUUAGAGCCAGGAAAAGGAUUUUCCUCCUGUAGAUUUUUUCACAUUACUCCUCACUUUAUGUUAUACAUUCCCAACCGUUAUUGCCUCAGCACUCUUGCCUGCUGGUUAUGUUGGUAUCACAUCACUUCUAGCCUUUCAAUCACGUUUUUAUUCAGUACCCAUUCAAGUCCAUGAUUUCCCUGUUCUGGUGAUACAGCUGCUCAUGACCUAUAUUCUAGAGUAGAUAAUGCAGACAAUGUGAUAAAUAGUCCUUAUUGAUUUAAAGCUCUGUGUGUGUGUGUGUGUGUGUGUGUGUGUGUGUGUGUGUGUGUGUGUUUGGGAGAAAUAAAGACAUUUGAUAGGUGACUUUGAGUGUAACCACAUUUAAAUAAAUUGAGUAAAGAAUGAGUCAUUUUGAGAAAAGAAAGGGGGAGUAAGGAAGCUUGUAGGGUAAGAAAUGAAUAUUAAAAUAAAAUAUAAAAGAUUGCUAAUUGGAACCUGCUUUCUAUUAAUUAUUUCAACUCCAAAUCAUCCAGUGGGCUCUGCUUUGGAAUCAUUCAUAUGAAAAGCAGGAUGAGGUGUUUUGAAGGAACAAUAACAAUGCUGUCUACCAUUUACUGAAUACCUAGCAGGUUAAAGAUGCUUUCCAUGUGAUCCUGAAACAACCCUGUUAGAUGGGUGUUAGCCAUACAUAAGGAGCAGGAGUUUGGAGAAGUUCCCAUGGCCAGCGGCAGGGCUGAAAUUGGAAACCAGUUCUUUCUAACUCUGGCCUAGUCUCAGUCUCUCUAGAUAUUGUUUACUCUUUUGCUGGUUCUGUGUGGUCAUCCCUACAGGACUUCCUCCCACCCCACAUCCCCCACCCCUCAUGGAAUACUUAAAACACACAAUUGUGGAUACUGCAUGGAUAAAAAUUGUCUUUGGUUAAUAAGAGAAAAAACGGACAUUUAGAAUGACUCUUUCUCUUGGCCCCCACAAGCAAGUUUUCAAAUAUAGGCACAUUAAUAACUGCACGAUUAACAAUACAUUUAUUUUCAACAAAGGCUUGCAAGUCCAAAUUGUGAUUGGACUGACACUGCUUAUUUCCCAUCUUAGACUAGAAUUAUCAUGUUAAAGAUCUGCUUCCAUGAAAGCAACGUAUCUUGUUAAUCCCAUCUUGCCAAAUCCAGGGGAAAGAAAUAAUCACAUUUAUUUGAGGAAAGAUGACUUUAAAUUCUUCUACAACAUGAUCAGGGUUUCGAGAACUUCCACAAGUCGUCUGGGAAAGCAGAUUAUAGGUCAUUUGCUUUUCUCAUGGCUCGAAGUGUUAAAUAUAGUGUAAUUCUUCCUCCUUACAGUAACUAUCAAACCCAAAAAGGUACAGGGAAGGGAGAGAGCAAGUUCCACUGUAGUCUGAGGUAAGAAGCAUUAGAGUCAAGAGUUUGAGAUGUUCUGGAAAAAAAGAGAAGCAGUUUUUAACCAAAGUACAGGAAGGAAGGGUAUGUCAUGUUUUGUGUGUUCACAAGUUGUAAGAAAACUAGUUACUGUUUAGUGGAAAUGUAGGUAAAUUUCUCACAGCACAGCUUUUCAGACUAUCUGACCUCAGUGGGAGUUGAGAAGAUUUCAUUUCUCUAAUCUUCUGGGGCACAAUGACUCACUUUGAUGUAACUUACUGGGAAAUGAAUUGAAAAGUGAAGUGUUUUGUUUUUUGCUUACCCCCAACUUGUCAAAUAUGUGAUAUUGGUGGAUUUCAUUAAUUGACAAUUGGUUAUGAAAUUGCACUUUUGUAGCAUGGUAUUGAUAAACCAAAUUCGAAUCAAGCAUAUUGAGAAUUACUCUGUCCUGUGGCUAAAGGAACACCACCCACCAUGUCCAACAGUUUUGGAGGCCAACUGCCCAGCAGCAGAGCUGGCGGCGGGGGAGGCGGCAGAAUGGACAUUCGAGGACAAAGCAGCCAUCUGCAAGCCAGGAAGAGAACUCUCUCCAGAAACCAAACCCUGUGGAACCUUAAUCUUGGACUGGAUCUGGAAUCAUUAUCCGGAACUGUAAGAAAACUAUUGUUUAAGCCCGGAUUGAAUGCAGAAUGGGACAAGACACUCUCCAUGUAUUAUUAAUAUAUGAAACAGCCUACUUAAGAAAAAUAGAAGGACUUUGGAAAUGAUUAGAGUCUGUAACUCAAAGGCAAAAGAAACCAUACAUAAACAUUGUAGUCCAUUUGAGAAAAUUGCUUCCCACGGGGGUAGCCGUUAAUCAUUCUGAUACUGCUGUACAUAUAUACUGGAACUGAACUAUUAAUAAAUGACUGACUAAUGAUGGGAGACAGGGAUUUUUUCUGUUGGAGUGGUAGUUUACAGGUAAUUAAGGGAACAGGCUAGGAUGAUCCAUGUGGAAAUGGGUUAGAGAUAGAGACAUCAAUAUGCACUCAAUAUUAGCUUAAUAUAGAUACAGAUGGUUACAUAGAAAAAUAUUUAUAAAUAUAUACAAGGUUUAAUAUACAUACACAUAUUAAUUGUUGACAGCAGAAAAGACAUAG